ACGUAGGUGGCAAGCGUUGUCCGGAUUUAUUGGGCGUAAAGCGAGCGCAGGCGGUUUCUUAAGUCUGAUGUGAAAGCCCCCGGCUCAACCGGGGAGGGUCAUUGGAAACUGGGAGACUUGAGUGCAGAAGAGGAGAGUGGAAUUCCAUGUGUAGCGGUGAAAUGCGUAGAUAUAUGGAGGAACACCGGUGGCGAAAGCGGCUCUCUGGUCUGUAACUGACGCUGAGGCUCGAAAGCGUGGGGAGCAAACAGGAUUAGAUACCCUGGUAGUCCACGCCGUAAACGAUGAGUGCUAGGUGUUAGGCCCUUUCCGGGGCUUAGUGCCGCAGCUAACGCAUUAAGCACUCCGCCUGGGGAGUACGACCGCAAGGUUG
rnacentral:rRNA from 1 species